CGCGAAGCCAGGGGGCGGGGAAGAAGGGGGACGUGUACCCCUCCCUCAUUCACGGUACCACCGCGAGGGGGAGUGGGGGGCUACAAGGGGGCGGAGAGAAGAGUCCAGACGUCCCACAUCCUGAGGGCGAGUUUCAGCCUCGUGGAGGGCAGCGAAAGUAAUUGCAUGGAUCAGGAAAAUCUUGCAAUCGGAAAACAGCAGCGUCCCCGUAAUUUCAAUAUAGGUGGGGCUUACAAGUGGCUGGCUGUUUAGACGCGGUUAGCCUAGCUUAGCGUUUUAUUUACUUGCCAAACAUUUCACAAAGCGCGUGCUAUGUGUGAGUGUACCAGGCAUUGCUCUAACCGUUUUACACAUUUACAUGCUAUAACUCCAAAAUUAUCGUUACCCCCUUUUACGAAUGAGGAGACGAAGACCCAGAAAUGUGACGUACAUUUACCUGAACUCAUCACCUUCCCACCCCCAUCCCAUCGACUCUGUGCUGUAUCCUGAACCGGCUGACAGAACAAUGAUGUAGACUUGACUUGUUUUCGCCAACCUGGAAUGAAGCAAAGCUCUUGUGCACCCAAGAUCUGCUCUCUGUUGUAAAUCCUGUUCAGACCUGGUCUAAUUGGUUUGAAUAAAUAAAGAACCGGAAUCUCUCUCAUCCAAACUAGUUGCCAGCAUAUUUUUAAGGCCACCUCCCUUCAAAUUUAAAAGGAAGUGUUGAAUGUAAUGUCACUAUAAAUUAAAAGCCCUGGAAAUU
rnacentral:lncRNA from 1 species